rnacentral:piRNA from 1 species
AGCUCUUUCUUGAUAGACCAAUGUGCCA